rnacentral:rRNA from 1 species
CCCUUAGAUGUUCUGGGCCGCACGCGCGCUACACUGAUGCAUUCAACGAGUUUCUUCCUGGUCCGAGAGGAAUGGGUAACCUUUUGAAAGUGCAUCGUGAUAGGGAUAGACUAUUGCAAUUAUUGGUCUUCAACGAGGAAUUCCUAGUAGACGUAGUUCAUCAGACUGCAUCGAUUACGUCCCUGCCCUUUGUACACACCGCCCGUCGCUCCUACCGAGGGGGUGAUCCGGUGAAUGAUUCGGACUUUGGCAUUGCUAUGUUUCAUAGCAUUGCUGGGGGAAGUCUUGUGAACCUUAUCACUUGGAGGAAGGAGAAGUCGUAACA